rnacentral:tRNA from 1 species
UAUGGCAGAAUAGUGCAAUGGAUUUAAACCCCAUAUAUAAAGUUUAAACUUUUUUUAGAAAUUA